GAGAAGGAGAGAUGUUUUUUCUUCAGGGGGGUAGCCACUGUUAAGUUGCGGUGCUCGUGACUGGACGUCAUCCAACUGGCUGAACGCCUUAUUACAUCAAAGACUGACCUCCCCAGAGCAAGAAGAAAUUCUGUUAGGACCCUUUGACUCAAACUGAAACUCUUCCACAGGUCACCACAGUCAGCUGGCAUUUUGAGGAGAUGUUGAAUAGUCCUUAUUAGACACGCGGUGGGAGCGACUGCAGACAACUGAGCGGAUGCCGAGAUGAUGUGAAACGGACUAGGGCUCUUUGGCAUCAAUUCAGUUUGAUGGGAAAAAAGAGAAAGUCGAAGCAAAAAAGCCAAGGUGGAGUCCUGAACUAGAGUCGUGGCCAGAGAAACGGAGAAGGGCGGGAGCAAGUUUUGAGAGCAACCUCGAAGGUCAGUAGCUGACAAGACGGAAGUGGUAGGUCAAAAAUAAUUAGUGUUUCAACCAUGAGUUACUGGGAGGCAGUCAUACCACUAACAGGAAUCAGGAAGGCAGAAAGAGGAAGUCUGUGGAUUCAGUCCUUGGCCUGCUGGACAUUUAAGUGGCUAUAUUGAAGGAGGAACUAUAUACAAUUUUAAUAACAUUUAUAAGAAGUGUAUCCUCACAGACGAUAGAAGGUUGAAUUUACAAGGCUGGGGACAGAGAUGGUAGGAGUCAUGAAUGUAGUCCGUGGACAGAAGAUCUAUCUUCCUAGCAUGCAUGAAGCUCCCUGUCUGGCUGGGUUGGAUUUAGUACCACAUAAACGAAGCGUGUGGUACAGACUUGUAUGUCCCAGCUCUGGGAAGGUAGAGAUAGGAAGACCAGAGUUCAAAGUCAACUUGCGAAUCUGGGCAGGAGAUACUAUCUAAAAGAAAAAAAAAAAUGUGCUUAUUUGGAGUAUAAAUGCCGAGGUCAUAAAAAAGGAAAGCAAUAUUUUAACUCUAGGUUCUCUCUACUCGAAUUUAACAGUGAUCUAUAGUUAUCAAAAGAUGGCUCUAAUAAUGUAAAUAUUUAUCAUAUGACUCAUUUGUGCUAAAAUUCAAAUAUUUCAUGUUAAUUAAUCUUCUUAGUGUUGUUUUAAACCUGGGACAAGCGGCUGAUUUACAAACAUAUUGAAGCAGACCUGACCUCCAGGUUCUCCCAGCAUCCCUCAGUCCCUACCUGUUACAGUGUAUGGACGGCAUACUCCACCCUCUACCCACUCUUCCCUGAACAAUCCAGAUUGCUCUUCCCUGAACAAUCCAGAUAUUUUUAUCACCCACUCUUUGCCCCUUUUUGCUCCUUUUGUACCCUUGGCCUCCUGGCCACUGUACUUGAUUCCCCUCUCUCCCUCUCCCUCCCCCUCUGCCCUCAUGGUUUGGAGUCAUGACUACUCUGGACUCUCCCAUGUAUCUGUAAUACACUUCCUGCUUCCCUAGGAGCAGUUAGCGUCUCUCCUUGCCUUUAUUUUUUUAUUUUUCUUUUUUCAAUCACUUAGCAACUCAGACAUCAUCUUGAUUCUUAGGAGAGAAAGUAGUGAAGAAAAGCCCAUUGAUAGAGACUGGGAAAAGCAGUCUCUCAUCCCCACCAGGAAUUUCCCCAAGCAUGGAAUCCUGAAGUUCUAACCAGGGGUUGUUAUAGGUGACCCCCACCCUCUGCACAAAUGAGAGUGGCUCAACCAACUCUUCCUCUCUCUAGUCUAAAUGGUGAACUCACUGCUUAUAUAAACUGACAGCAUAACCACUGCAUUGUCUGGGUAUGCAGAGCCCAGUCCAGAUGGCCUGGUGUACACUUCCAGGAGGUGAGCUUGAGUUACUGCGCACAUAAUUUCCACUGGGCAACCUUUACCAUGCAAAUGGGGGCCAUGCAAAUCAGAGGCAUCCAAAUAAGUGCAGUCCUGCUCAAUCAGAGUUGGGUCCCGGUCAAAGGGUCAGAGCACAGGGUGCAUUUGCUUCAGCUGUAUGGUGUUGGGGUAUAUCGUUCCUCCAAAAACAGUCUGAGAUUCCCAGGCCACAUUUGUAAAAAUCCCUAAGGGGGUUUACCUCCAUUUUCUGAUCUCUUAUUACCCACGUUCCUCCACUGCGUGGGGUGUAGUGACAAUUUUGGAAUUUUGGUGUCUCUGAAAAACAGAGACAUAUGCUAAGAUUAUGUUUACAUUUUUUUCUUUUUUUCGGAGCUGGGGACCGAACCCAGGGCCUUGCGUUUGCUAGGCAAGCACUCUAUCACUGAGCUAAAUCCCCAACCCCUAUGUUUACAUUUUAAUCCAAGGCGUGGGAUAUGGGGCUGCUUCAGAUUGUGCAUAGCAGUCGACUGUGAUUUGCCUCGUGCUCUCGCAGGGGCAUGAUUUUGCCACCCACAGGUAGUUUCUGUGAUUGUUUGACCUUUGGAAUUCUGGGGACUUUUUAGAGGGUAUGUAAAUGCUAGGGCCUUGAGAGGUGGGGUGGGUUGUUGGUGGGCUGCUAUUGGUCAAGGUUUGUUAAGUAAUCAUGCGCAAACAAGAAACAAUAAGGCAAAGAAACUAGAUAUCCUGAUAGAGAAGAUCAAAGUUGCCCCGAGAAACUUGACACCCCUAGUCCACAGAAAGUACUUUAACGAUAACGUCCCCCCCAUUUCUGACCCGUGACUUUAUUCAGGGGUCCCCUUCCUCUCUUGUCUAGUGUUAGAGAAUUGAAAGGGUGUUAAAUGGGUGGAGAGAAGAACCCACAAAGUAGCAAAAAGGCAGCUACGAUGGGGUCUGUGCUGGCUCAUUUUAUGUCAACCUGAUGCAAGUUGGAGUCAUCUCAGAGGAGAGAACCUCAGCUGAGAAGUUGCAUCCAUGAGAUAGAGCCAUAGGAAAACUUGAAGGGCAUUUUCUUAAUUCCUGGUUGAUGUGGAGGAACCCACCUCACAUUGGGUGGUGCUGCCCCGGGGCUGGAGAUCUUGGAUGCGGUGAGAGAUCAGGCUGAGCAAGCCACAAGGACCAGGCCAGGAGACAGUGCUCCUCUAUGGUCUCUGCAUCAACUUGUGCCUCUAGGCUCCUGUCUUGUUCUCUACCAUUGGCCUGUGAUUCAGGAUACGUAAGCCAAAUAAAUUCUUUCCUCCCCAAGUUGCUUUUGGUUUUGGUGUUUCAUCCCAGCAACAGUCAUCCUGACUAAGACGGGGCAUGAAGAGGUCAUCCGACUUCCAGGGUCAACCAGGAAGUGACGGAAUGAGAUUUGAACAGGGUUCAAGUGGUUUAAAAGUCCCAAUUCUCUUUCUCUGUCACUUGGUUUAUUUACUUUCCUAUCCUAUCUUUUCCACAGAAUGAAAAGGGAAGAAUGUCUGUUGAUACAAUACUUGAUCUUAAUUACAUGUCUGUGCCCAGGGACUCCUGUGCUACCCUACUAGAAGUAAUCUGAUCAGGAAAGUCUUGUCCUUGGGAGCUCUCACUGGGAAAACUGCUUUCCCUGUGACUGAUAAUUCACAUACUUCAAGACUAAGAGAGUUAUUAACUAAAAAAUUUAAAUUUAAAUUUAAAAACUGCCAGUGAAAAUGUACCCUUUAGAAGGAGCAGGCAAAGCCAUGCUGCAUGCCUUUAAUCCCAGCACUCAGGAAGCAGACAGAAACAGUUGUGUCUCUAGGGGUGAAUUUGAGCACGGUCUAGUUUACAGAACGGGUUCUAGGCCAGCCAGAGCUGCACAGUGAGACCCAGUUUCAAAAAAGAGAAGGAAAAAAAGAUAAGACUGAUAAAAUACUGGGAUAGGGGACGUGACUAAAUUUUAUUAUAGUACUUGUCUGCUCUGCACAAAGCCCUGGGUUUGAACCUCAGCAUCAGACAAAAUGGUCAUUGUGGCGCGCUCCGGCAAUCUCAGCCUUGGAAGGCAGAGGCAGGAAGAUCAGUAACCUCAAGGUUACCUUAUCUUUGUCUUCAAGGCCAACUUACUCUACAGACGGUGUCUCAAAUUUGAGCUUAAUCCCCAGUGUGGAAAGAGAAAUGAGAUGAACAGCAGCAAGUACCUUCCCAUGGAGCCUGACCAGGAAAGUCUGGCCACUUCCUCAGAAAGGAAGAGGGAGGAUGAAGGAUCCUGGAGAUUAACAUUAUAGGUAGAAACUCCCGCACAGAGCGAGGACACCUGUGCCGCAUGGACCACAGGGCACCCACCAAAGGAGUUCCUGUCCUCUCCUCCUCUUGGGUUCACAGUCUUCCUUUCAGAAGACUUCUUCUUCUUCAACCACUCAGCUGUGAUGAGAGGACCCUUAAGUGUAGCGGCUUUGUGUUCUCAUGCUAAUUAUGUUACCCAAAAACCUGUUUGCAGGGUCCUGUUCGUAGAACUAAAGGAAGCCUGUCCCCAGUUGGUUUUUGACUGGUCAAUAAAGUUGCCCGCGGCCAAAGGCUAAACGGGAAGACAGAGGCAGGACUUUUAGGAUUCCCGGAAAGAGACCAAGGAAGGAGGAAGAGGGGAUUCUGCCAUGGUGAGGGGUAGGAGAUGGACCACACAGGAAAGGUGCAGGAAGGAGAGACAGCCGACCUGUAGGUGCGGGGGGAAUCAGUUCCAGGAGGGCUGCCUAGCAGGAUCCAAGGCAUCAAAGAUAAAAUAGAGAUUUAGUAAGUAUUAACUCAGGAAUUCAGGAGGGGAGCGUGUUAACCACAGGGAGUUAGGGAGUGGUCCAACCAUUGAGCUGUUUAAGGUAUUUUAAACUAUAAGACUUACGUGUGCGCCUUUCUUUCUGGAACCCAGAUCAUGGGACGGCAGCGAGAAGUAUAGGGCAGAUUAACGUAGUACCGCUACAAUUAAGAACAGUAUUCCCGGGUUGGGGAUUUAGCUCAGUGGUAGAGCGCUUGUCUAGCAAGUGCAAGGCCCUGGGUUCGGUCCCCAGCUCCGGGGGCGGGGGGCAGCGGCGGGACCAGCAUUCCCUCACUCAGGACACUUUCUGGAUAACACAAGUAAACUUUCCUGGUGCAGUAGCUAAGGGUGGUAAUGUCAGUCCCUUUGUGUUUAGAAUCGCGUGAGAGACACAUUGUACCGCAAAGGUUCGUGAGUCGUGCAAUUUCACAGUUACCAAAGGACAGGCCAGAGAGAGCCUCAGGCAUGAGGCGAACCUUAAGGACCGGCAGGAUUGGUAUAAUUCAGAAACGCUCUGCUGGCCUACCAGAUGUGAAGAAAAGCAAAACUGAGGCUGGGAAUAAGCUCAGCUGGAGAGCCCUCUCCUAGUGUGCACGAAGAGUAAUCCCCUCUACCAGGCUAAUUGAAGGCGGUGGCACACAAUUGAAUCCCAGCACUCAGGAAGAGGAGGCAGGAGGCUCAGCCGGUCAGACUCCGCUCCAUAGUGAUUUGAGACAAUCCCAGGCUACAUGAGACCUAGUCUCAACAUGUGUGUGCAUGUGUGCAUGCAUGUGCGUGUGUGUGUGUGUGCAUGUGCGCGCUAAUCACAUUGUAAUCACAUCCUGACAGCCUUCUACCGAACUCUAAUUAUUUCCCCAAAGUCUCUUCCCAAAAUACCACCAAAUUGGGGGUUACAGCUUUAGCGUGUGAGUUUGUUGGCAAACAAAUAUCCAGUCCAUGCACUGUUUAUCUUAAGGGAGUAAAUAGAAUAAGCUCUUCUAAUUGCCUUCAUACAAUUCCCUAUAAAAAAAAUCAACAGAGAAGCCCAGUGCACUCCCAUAAGCCCAGCCCAUGGGAGUGUGUCAGGAAGAUCAGAAGUUCGAUACCAGCCUCAGUUACAUGGCAAGUUUGAGUCCAGUCUGGGCUGCAUGAGAUCUCAUCCCCAAAAACCAAGCAAGAAAACAAACCCAAACAGCUACAGAGACCCAAGGUGGUAUUUGGGUAAUCCAGGGUACCUGGAAUCAAAUUUAAAUAGACCUGUAUUAGAUAUAAUACCUACACGUCAUACCUAAUAUCUACACUGUAUCUGUUUAUUCGACAAAUGUCUGAAGUCACUAUUUUAUGCUAGGUAUGAAGUCACCGUGUUGACAAGAUAGACGCGACUGCUGACCUCAUGGGACUGUGCAAUCCCUGCGGGGGUGGGGGUGGAGGGCUAACUGGUU